AAAAGAAAAAAAGGUUUCAAUUUGCAAUACUAUCAUUUUUAAGAUACUAAUGUCAUUUGGUUUAGAGAUAGAACCUUAUAUUUUUUUCAAUAAAGCUUCAAAUGGACAUUCGAGUAAAAAAGAAAAGGAACCUUACUAAUAUUUAUAAGAUAAACAAGAUAUUUCUCUGAUCGUGAAUUGGUUUUGAAAUAAAACCACAAAAUUUGGAGUUCGAUCUAAUAAUGAUGAAUCUAAAGAAACACCAUCUUGAAGAGCAUUGAAAUUUUCACAUUAAAAAAAUUACUAUAAAAAUUUUAACGUGUUCCAAUUUUUUUUUCCAAUAUAUACAUAAUUUCAUCGGCAUAGGUUUGUUUUCCGCUACAAAAAAUUCAUUCGUCAGCCAAAGUGGAGCAACCCAUGGAGUUUCUUUCUGCAGAUCUAUGCUGACGUAAUAAUGUGUCUACCAAAAUGUUUAUUUUUUUUUAAAAAAAAUCCACUUCUCUUCUCCUCCUCCUUGGUCGCCAGCGCCAGUUACGACCGCGGGGUAAUACGUUGGGCUGUGUUGAAGUAUUUGGUGGGCUCAUGAAGAUUAUACCGAGGCCCAAACUAGAAAUCUUGUUCAACUCAAACCAGCUGAAGGAAAACUUCUCUCUGAAUACCGUGUGCUGAAAGCACAAUCCGUGUGAAGGCUUGAUCUGAUUUUACAUGUUAAUGGCUAGGAUUAGAUCUAGGCACUCACACAAUAAGAUUGCUUUGAAUGACUAUCUUUCAUUUUUCUUUCUUUCAGAUCAGAGAGCUCAAGAGAGAAAAGAGAAAAGAGGGAAAAUGCUGCUUGUUUAGCUCGAGGAAAAAAACUGGGAAAAAGAUGAUGAUUCAGUAAGCAAGAAGUGCAAAAGAAGAAGAAGAAGAAUACCAAUCUUUUAACGUAGUUCGGGAACAACAAAGCCUACAUCCACGAAGGAGCUGAUUUGUUAUUCAGUCUUGGAGAGAUUUUUUGGAAUUACAGAUAAGUUGGCAGGAAGAACUUUUUAUUUUCACAGUGCUUUACAAAGUAGUUAUAACAUACUUGUAAAGUUUAAUUUCAACAAGUUCUCCUUGACAUAAUACUUUCUAAAUAGAUGGAUAGUGGUCUAAUGGUUUAGUAGGAUUGGUGGAGAAAAAUUUUAAGUUUAGUGGUAGAAUUUUAAGGUCAGUGGAUUAGUGGGAUUGGGGAGAAAAAUUUUAAGUUUAGUGGUAGAAUUUUAAGGUUAGUGGAUUAGUGGUCAGUUUCUUAUUUGCCGAUAAAUCGUUUUAAUUUUUCCACCUCAAUGAAUAUUAAACUCAAUCGAAGCACUCGAUCGUUUGUGCAAUA